UCUCCCCUUGUUUACUGCCAGGUACCCUUAGCAGCUCCUGGUCCCUGGAGAUCUGAGCAGGGAGCCAUCAGCAAAGACUAGCCACCAGCGUCUAGCACACAGCAGGGCUGGAAUCAAAGUUGCCCAAGCCCCACUGAGCCUCAGCCUCUGGGAGCUCCGGACUCACCUUUGGCAGCAGAAGCCUAACCUCCCCCGGUGCGGGGACCACAACCCACCCCGCCCCUAACUCUAACGCAACCUGGAUGUGCUUCCUCCCGCAGCCUGAAGGGGGCGCCCGGAUAACGCACAGCUAACCCUGCCCGCUGGCUGUUCUUGUUCCCACCCGGGUGGUGCAGGGAAGGGGGAGAGGCUUUAUCAGCUUGUGGGCGGGCGGACCUAUUUCUGUCUGUGAAGGGAUAAGGGAUUUUCAUCAUCAGCCUCUUCCCUGAAUGCAGUUGACUCUUGGGCGCAGAAAAGUUAGAAGUGUGGCUUUGAAAGGCUAAAAGGAAGAUUCUGCGCCAUGCUGUCUGCCUCCAUCUCUCCUCUCAGCGGGGACGUUUUAGGCGGACACCCAGCCGGCUCCAGACUGCCACUUUGAUCUGCUUAUUAUGUCAAGAAGGAACUUCAAGUUCAUGGCCUGUUACUGUGAUGUCCUCUCCCCAUGCCAGGUGGUUGGAGAAUAUAAUGAUGAUGUCGGGGACCAGACUCUCACUGCGGAAUAAAUGGGGCAGAAUAUAAGGAGUGGAGAAAAAGAUGAGAAAUUAUCCCAUGGGAUACCAUUCUCUCUAAAAGGAACGAGACCUCCUUGAAGACAUUAAUGCAAGGUUUGGGGCAGAGAGAGUUAGUGAGCCUGGAAUAUCUUAUGCUAGAAAAUAGAACAUGCUCAAAGUUUAAUGAAGCAAGGAUUCGUAUUGAAAGGUCUUCCAGUGGUCAAACUUGGGACAAUUUGAUCAUCAGAAGUAAUAAUGGAGCAUCUCCAAAAAUAACCCAGGAGGCCAUCACGAUUCCAGAGACAAAAGUGGGGGAGGAGAAGCUCUUCUUUACAGACAAAAUGCCAGAUAAAAAGUAUAGAAGGGAUUUUUUUUUUUUUUUGCUUCUUUUAGGGCCACACCCUUGGCACAUGGAAGUUCC